UACGAAGGGGGCGAGCGUUGUUCGGAUUUACUGGGCGUAAAGGGCGCGCAGGCGGUCCUGUUUGUCGAGUGUGAAAGCCCCGGGCUCAACCUGGGAAUGGCGCUCGAAACGGCGGGACUAGAGAUCGGGAGAGGAGCGUGGAAUUCCCAGUGUAGAGGUGAAAUUCGUAGAUAUUGGGAAGAACACCGGUGGCGAAGGCGGCGCUCUGGACCGAGACUGACGCUGAGGCGCGAAAGCGUGGGGAGCAAACAGG
rnacentral:rRNA from 1 species